rnacentral:rRNA from 1 species
GAUGAACGCUGGCGGCGUGCUUAACACAUGCAAGUCGAACGAAGCACCUUGAUUUGAUUCUUCGGAUGAAGAUCUUGGUGACUGAGUGGCGGACGGGUGAGUAACGCGUGGGUAACCUGCCUCAUACAGGGGGAUAACAGUUAGAAAUGACUGCUAAUACCGCAUAAGACCACAGUACCGCAUGGUACAGGGGUAAAAACUCCGGUGGUAUGAGAUGGACCCGCGUCUGAUUGGGUAGUUGGUGGGGUAACGGCCUACCAAGCCGACGAUCAGUAGCCGACCUGAGAGGGUGACCGGCCACAUUGGGACUGAGACACGGCCCAAACUCCUACGGGAGGCAGCAGUGGGGAAUAUUGCACAAUGGGGGAAACCCUGAUGCAGCGACGCCGCGUGAGCGAUGAAGUAUUUCGGUAUGUAAAGCUCUAUCAGCAGGGAAGAAAAUGACGGUACCUGACUAAGAAGCACCGGCUAAAUACGUGCCAGCCGCCGCCGUAAGAC